ensembl:lncRNA
GGACUCGUGACGUCACCAGCGGCGUGGACUGCGGCGACGCGACCAGACGCUGGACCGUGACCGGGGGCGUUACAGCCAGUAACCGACAACGCAAGCUAAGUACCCCUCAAGGGACGUCGGAGUUGUAAUUUCUGGUUGACACGCUAUUGGGUGUGGACCUGAACCAUUCCAUCUAGUAGCCCGACUGUGUUUGUGUUGCAGCGGGAUUGUUUUAUAGCGACGGCGGCCGACGCCAGAAGGAAGCUUGGACAGAGUGGAACGGCGCCUACUCUUCUGUUACGUUUCCAUUUAUACGGCCUGGGCGGAGUUUGUUGCCGAGCAUUCCGGAGGGCGACGUGGGCGUGUUCGCGGGAUCCUGCACUGCGUGAUCCAGCGCAGCUGCGGAGUGGAGCGCUUGGAGACCGACGUGUGCACAAUUCCGCAAUUAAUGAGAUCACCCUGGACUUCAGGAAACACAACUCUACCUUCACCUUCCUGGACUCUACUAUCUUUGCUGACCUAUCCUGGUCUGCUAACAUAAGAGCUGUAGUCAUGAAGGCACAGAUGAAUAACAUCAACUGCUGAUUACCUUCUAUAAGAGCAUCCUGACUCCCUCGAUCUGGCUUUCCCACUGCAUCGUGGCAAACCAAAAGAGGCUCCAGAGGGUGAUCAAGACAUUGCUGAAGAUCAUGGGCUGCCCCCUCCCCACAUCUCGCAGCUUCAGAAGAGCGCAAAACAUCAUCAGAGACAGUCACCCUGCCCACCACCUGUAUGAUCUACUGCCCUCUGGCAGGCAUUACAGGACCAUCAGAUCGAGGACAAACAGACUCAGUGUCAGUUUCUUCCCAAGUCAUCACCACCCUGAAUGUCCAGCACCUUUUGAACUAUCUCUUUGCCUGCAGCUGGUUGCUGUACAAAUUCUUUUUUUUUUUUUUUUCUUUUUUUUAAAUCUUAUCUUAUAGUGCAGAGCUAUUGAACUAGCUGGCUAUAGUUGCUAUAGUUACUCUUGCAUGGCCAACCCUCAUGUCAUCCUGGGUCAUAGUCUCAGUAUAUUCUGCAUUGUUUUCAUAAAACUAAUAGUCACGCUGUUUUAUGAACAAUACUUUUUCCAGCGUGUGUCAUUUAUGGGUUUUCAGAUGAUAUACCACAUUAAAACGUUUAACAAACUAUCAUUUCUGUUGAGUUGAACCACACACAGAGAGAAAUUAAUAAGCAGAUGGUGAAGUGUAUGCAUGUCUGGCAAAUUUUGUAAUUUCUCAGAAAUCAGAGUAUUUAGAAAGAAUGGCGGGUUAUUUCAGAUGCAAUGCGGCCUAUUGAGUCAUCCGAAAGUUGGAAUUUUUAAUGAUGUUUGAGAGUAUGCUGGGGGGUCAAAUCGUCAUAGUUCAAGUAAACUUUAUUGUCAUAUAUUGUGCAGAUAUACAGAGAGACGAGAAGAUGUGGCUCCAGUUUACACAGUGCAACAUAAAAGUAGACAACAAAAAACAAUGAGUCACAUGAAAUACAAUAUAUAAAUAUAGGAUACAGAAUAUACAUUUUAGUUAAAAAUGAAGUGUUAAAAAGUGUUCAGUGAUAUACAUGUUUAGACUGUGCAAAUAAACAACAGUAGUGAUAGUACA